rnacentral:lncRNA from 1 species
CAGCUGAAUAGCUUUUCUUAAAACCUGGACAUUCACCAAAAAGAAGUUUGCCAGCACAGACAAUUAAGCUUUCUUCUUUGAACAAUGGAGUGACUGACUGGCACAUUUGAAAUGCAAGCGUGUUUUUUUAUUCCACUGUUCAUCCUUCAAGCUGAUAAACAGCAACAAUGGGAAACAGCUGGGACAGGAAAACAUUUGAGUUUGUAUUUUCAAAGCAAGCAAGAAAGAAACCCGUCAGUGUGGGCCAGAUCCCGUCUUCCGCCUGAGGGUGAGGAAAUGGAAGCACAGUGAGUAACUUGCCCAAGGUCACUGUCUUUGCUGCUCAGUUGAUCAGGUAAUUGACUUCCAGGAAAUUAGAGAUCUACUAACAAGGUACCCUGGGCCUGCAUGGAAAAUAUGACGUCAAGAUAGAUUUCCUGGCAAAGGCCAACUUAUUACAACAUUCCACUUAGAAAAAAAAAUCUAUGCACUUAAAAAAAACCACAGCCAGGCACAGUGACUCAUACCUAUAAUACUAGCAUUUUGGGAGGCUCAGGCAGGAGGAUUGCAUUAAACCAGGAGUUUGAGACCAGCCUUGGUAACACAGCAAGACUGUCUCUACAAAAAAUAUUUAAAAAAACAGCCAUGCACGGCGGUGCACACCUGUAGUUCUAGCUACUUGGGAGGCUGAGGUGGGAGGAUAGUUUGAGCCCGGGAGUUCGAGGCUUCAGUAAGCUAUGACUGCACCACUGCACUCCAGCCUGGGUGACAGAGUGAGACCCUGUAUCAAAAUACAAAAACAAAAAAAACCAACACACUUGUUUUCUGGAAGGUUUUACCUCUAUACUACCACUGUCCUUCAGAAUCAUGGGUUUUCCUUAAGUAGCAGGGAAUAACCAUGUUGAUUACUAAGUCGUAGGCCAGAAGGAAAGAACUUGACUUGGGAUUUCCUGAAUUUAUCACAGCGUACCUUCUUUCAUAGGCUAAAACUGUGUCUUAGGUUUAAUGAACUAUGUG